rnacentral:rRNA from 1 species
AUUGAACGCUGGCGGCAUGCCUUACACAUGCAAGUCGAACGGUAACAGGUCUUCGGAUGCUGACGAGUGGCGAACGGGUGAGUAAUACAUCGGAACGUGCCUAGUAGUGGGGGAUAACUACUCGAAAGAGUGGCUAAUACCGCAUGAGAUCUACGGAUGAAAGCAGGGGAUCGCAAGACCUUGUGCUACUAGAAAGGCAGAUGGUAGAUUAGGUAGUUGGUGGGAUAAAAGCUUACCAAGCCGACGAUCUGUAGCUGGUCUGAGAGGACGAUCAGCCACACUGGGACUGAGACACGGCCCAGACUCCUACGGGAGACAGCAGUGGGGAAUUUUGGACAAUGGGCGAAAGCCUGAUCCAGCAAUGCCGCGUGCAGGAUGAAGGCCUUCGGGUUGUAAACUGCUUUUGUACGGAACGAAAAGCCCUGGGUUAAUACCCUGGGGUCAUGACGGUACCGUAAGAAUAAGCACCGGCUAACUACGUGCCAGCCGCCGCCGUAA